rnacentral:lncRNA from 1 species
AUGGAGAAAAUGACAAACGGACAAGUUCAAGCAUUAAGAAACUCUAAUGUGAAAUUAAUUUCACAUUUGUGCAUAACUAAAUGGAUAAAAUCCCAACAUUGUUCAAAAGACACAUGGAGAAUCAGCUAUUCAUCCUUUGGCCUCUUUCAUGAUAUAAUUGUCCAAGAUCUUGUGGGUUAUAUUUCAUCCAGCAGCAUCGCUCCUAACAACUCUUCCCUAGAGUUCCAUUAACAGCGUUCCCAUGGAGAUGUUGGCACACAAGUUGUGCUGGUCCACCCAUGUGGAAACAUUUUUAUCCACCUGUAGAGACAUGCUGUAUAAUAUCUGGCCGAUGCUAAUCAUGACACGUGUGAAUGAUUUGUAUACUUUAAGUAUCUUUUCAUAUAUAUUUUUUUCAUCAAUUUCAUGUGAAUUUUAUAACAUUAGACUAAAAAAACUGAAACGUUAAGUACAGUGUGAGAGAAUUAAAUUAAAUUGUUAUUUAAAUGAAUAAUUCAUAUGAAAAUAAACAGGUUUGUUUACUUGUUUACUUAUUCACCCUCAUUUCUUUACAAACCUGUAUGAAUUUCUUCCUUCUGUGGACCAUAAAAGAAGAUACUUUGAUAAAAGGCAUUUUUUAUGUACAAUUGAACUUCAUUGAUUAACAAAACUGUUUGGUUAAUAAUAUUUUUCAACAUAUAUUCUUUGCUGUUCCACACAAGAAAGAAAGUCAUGCAUCAGGGUUAAACAGACAAGAGCGUGAGUAAACAAUGACAGAAUUGUCAUUAUUUGGUGAACUGUCCCAUUAAGGGUCAACGUAGAACAUUUUAACCAUUAAAAAUCCAGAUACUAAACUGUUUCAUUGGAAAAGUUGUGAAAUAUGACCAGAAUGUUCACAUUUAAGGCUGGGUCCAGCUGAGAACACAAACCAGUGUCAUAUGCUAUAACGGUAGUCGUUCAAAGGUAUCAUGCAAAACCUGGUUUACUGUAGUCAGUGUAUUCUUUAAAGGCAACGUUACCUUUGCGGGCUGGAAAGCUGAAGUUUCGUUGGUUUCUCUGUUCCUCCGGUGGACACAGGGAAGUUGUCAGAGGCCAGUCUGGGCGCGAGGAUGUGUCCGCAUAGUGCGCGCCCUUGACCACGAGAUACAGUCACUGACCGCGAGCUCGUGUUAUAAUUAGGAAGACGCCGAGGACGCAAGUUUUCACGACGUCUAUUCGCGUCUAAUUUUUCGUUAAGUACGUGACGCAUGAAAAGUAGCCUAUAAUUCGCUGGUCAAAUCAAAACACUUUAAUAAAAUUACAGAACUAUCCAUUAGAAAUGUUUCAUUUAUAACACUUCGUGACACACUUUCCAAAUGCUGUGCUCCUUUUCUCAGUUUGGAAUUUAUGUGUGAACUGAACUGAACCGGACCACAGCGCGCGCAUACAGUUUAACCCCGAAAUAAUAAACCAGAGAGCGUUUAUGUAGAAAGUACGUGUCAAAUUUCGAUAAUGCAAAUUAAAUAAAAAAUAAACUCUUAAGGCUUUUAUGAGUUGUUUAACAUCAUAUCUAGUUUUUGUGCUUCAGGUGACUGUACUCUAUUCUGCACGCGACCAGGUCGCUCUCUAGUGGUAGUUUUUGACAACGCUUCGUUUAUGUGUGUGCAGAAUAGACCCCUUAAAAGUUUGUAAACAUUGCAACGUCUCCGGGUGGGCGGGGCUUAGCUGGAGGCAAAAAGAGGCGCGGACGCAAUGUUGACAAGCGUAAACUAGCACGUUUUAGGGGGGAUUUAUUAAACAUGGAUGCAGAAGAAGGUUCGGAAAUGUCCGAAUAUGUACCCAAACUGGUUAUCUGACCAAAAUAUAAUGACGAGUGGAUAACAUUACAGUAGCCUAAUUUAUUUAUUUAUUUAUUUUUAGCUAAGCCUGGUGUAGUUCUUGUAUCUUGUUCUCAUUGGAAACAUUUUGACCAGGUUUUGGAUAUUUCCUAGACAACAUAUGAAUUACUUUCGGGUGGUUUGGGGAAUUUUGUCAAGGCUUAUUGUCUAAUGUAACCUAUCGCUGGGCUAACUAUGAUUAGCAAUGUGGAUUAUUUUAAGAGACCAUUCAAAGGAUGGCACACACAUCUAUCGCUGUAUGUUUGUUUAACAUUUAAGCUAGCUAGUGCGCUGAAGGUUGGCGACUUUUCACCUAUAAAACAUAAACUUGCUGAUUUGUACUAGAUAAAACCAACACACCAGUACAUAUGCAUAGAUUAUUUUACCUAAUAUGAAGUGUGCACUGCAAACACGAGCAUUAUUUAUGAUCGUCUCUGUCUAGUCUGUACGCCGUAUUGCAUUCAACCACAAUUGUCUUCUUGAUUUCUGUGAAGGAAUGUCGGCCGGGAUCCGGUGAAACUUUAGUUUUGAACCAAAAGUGCUGUUCCUUCUAUUCUGGCAGCCAAAAACACAACAAGACGACAUUUUAAAGUCAAAACCUCAAACUUUUAGCGCGCCUGCUAUGAGUUCUUCCUUAUGUUUUGCCUCCAGCUAGAGCGGUGACGUCACAGUAGGCUCAUAUGUUUAGGUUCAGUAAUUUCACUUUAAUGGCAAUAAAUAGGUGUUUUCAUUGCCCUUAAAGUGAAAUAACUGAACGUAAAUAUAGGAGCCUGAGAACAUCUUUUGUUGAUCCUGUUCUGCACGCGACCAGGUCGCUCUCUAGUGGUAGUUUUUGACAACGCUUCGUUUAUGUGUGUGCAGAAUAGACCCCUUAAAAGUUUGUAAACAUUGCAACGUCUCCGGGUGGGCGGGGCUUAGCUGGAGGCAAAAAGAGGCGCGGACGCAAUGUUGACAAGCGUAAACUAGCACGUUUUAGGGGGGAUUUAUUAAACAUGGAUGCAGAAGAAGGUUCGGAAAUGUCCGAAUAUGUACAGUCACUGACUCUGCGGGACUGUGACAAAAAAAUAAUAAUAAAAAAGUGGGAGUUAGCAUACAUUUAUCAAUUAAUUCAGUUGAUCACUCAGUUCACUGACCAAACUGGUUAUCUGACCAAAAUAUAAUGACGAGUGGAUAACAUUACAGUAGCCUAAUUUAUUUAUUUAUUUAUUUUUAGCUAAGCCUGGUGUAGUUCUUGUAUCUUGUUCUCAUUGGAAACAUUUUAACCAGGUUUUUGAUAUUUCCUAGACAACAUAUGAAUUACUUUCGGGUGGUUUGGGGAAUUUUGUGAAGGCUUAUUGUCUAAUGUAACCUAUCGCUGGGCUAACUAUGAUUAGCAGUGUGGAUUAUUUUAAGAGACCAUUCAAAGGAUGGCACACACAUCUAUCGCUGUAUGUUUGUUUAACAUUUAAGCUAGCUAGUGCGCUGAAGGUUGGCGACUUUUCACCUAUAAAACAUAAACUUGCUGAUUUGUACUAGAUAAAACCAACACACCAGUACAUAUGCAUAGAUUAUUUUACCUAAUAUGAAGUGUGCACUGCAAACACGAGCAUUAUUUAUGAUCGUCUCUGUCUAGUCUGUACGCCGUAUUGCAAUUCAACCACAAUUGUCUUCUUGAUUUCUGUGAAGGAAUGUCGACCGGGAUCCGGUGAAACUUUAGUUUUGAACCAAAAGUGCUGUUCCUUCUAUUCUGGCAGCCAAAAACACAACAAGACGACAUUUUAAAGUCAAAACCUCAAACUUUUAGCGCGCCUGCUAUGAGUUCUUCCUUAUGUUUUGCCUCCAGCUAGAGCGGUGACGUCACAGUGACGUAGGCGAUUAAGGGGUCUAUAGAGAGGCAUGGCUAAUUAAUGACCUCCAAACUAGAUUUGAUCAGAAACGGGGUCAAGAGAGUAUCUGAAUAUUUCAUUGAGUGAAAAUAAAAUCGGCUACUUCUAAAAACUAUUAAGUGUGUAAAACAACAAUGCUAAAACGUGUUUUGAUUCAAUAAGAACAGUGCAGCCAUGACUCAACAAGUCAUAAUAAUGGUAAGAAAAGCAUUUGUCCAUGCAAAUGAUCUAACAUUUCCACCUAUUAGGGAAUGACAGCGUAGU